rnacentral:rRNA from 1 species
GAUGAACGCUGGCGGCGUGCUUAACACAUGCAAGUCGAACGAGAAUCAACGGAUUGAGGAUUCGUCCAAAUGAAGUUGAGGAAAGUGGCGGACGGGUGAGUAACACGUGAGUAACCUGCCCCAGAGUGGGGGACAACAGUUGGAAACGACUGCUAAUACCGCAUAAGCCCACGGAACCGCAUGGUUCUGGGGGAAAAGGAGCAAUUCGCUCUGGGAUGGACUCGCGUCCGAUUAGCUGGAUGGUGAGGUAACGGCCCACCAUGGCGACGAUCGGUAGCCGGACUGAGAGGUUGAUCGGCCACAUUGGGACUGAGACACGGCCCAG